rnacentral:rRNA from 1 species
UACGUAGGGGGCAAGCGUUGUCCGGAAUCAUUGGGCGUAAAGAGCGUGUAGGCGGUUCAGUAAGUCUGCUGUGAAAAUCCGGGGCUCAACCCCGGACUUGCAGUGGGUACGGGCAGACUAGAGUGUGGUAGGGGAGACUGGAAUUCCUGGUGUAGCGGUGAAAUGCGCAGAUAUCAGGAGGAACACCGAUGGCGAAGGCAGGUCUCUGGGCCACUACUGACGCUGAGAAGCGAAAGCAUGGGGAGCGAACAGG